CAUCAUCCCACGACCCGGCAUCGGGUAGAGGGAAAAGGAGCAAUCCGCUUCGAGAUGGCCUCGCGUCCAAUUAGCUAGUUGGUGAGGUAAUGGCCCACCAAGGCGACGAUCGGUAGCCGGACUGAGAGGUUGAACGGCCACAUUGGGACUGAGACACGGCCCAGACUCCUACGGGAGGCAGCAGUGGGGAAUAUUGCACAAUGGGGGAAACCCUGAUGCAGCGACGCCGCGUGGAGGAAGAAGGUCUUCGGAUUGUAAACUCCUGUUGUUGAGGAAGAUAAUGACGGUACUCAACAAGGAAGCGCCGGCUAACUACGUGCCAGCAGCCGCGGUAAAACGUAGGUCACAAGCGUUGUCCGGAAUUACUGGGUGUAAAGGGAGCGCAGGCGGGCAGACAAGUUGGAAGUGAAAUCCAUGGGCUCAACCCAUGAAUUGCUUUCAAAACUGUUUUUCUUGAGUAGUGCAGAGGUAGGUGGAAUUCCCGGUGUAGCGGUGGAAUGCGUAGAUAUCGGGAGGAACACCAGUGGCGAAGGCGGCCUACUGGGCACCAACUGACGCUGAGGCUCGAAAGCAUGGGUAGCAAACAGGAUUAGAUACCCUGGUAGUCCACACUGUAAACGAUGAUUACUAGGUGUUGGAGGAUGGACCCCUUCAGGUGCCGCAGUUACACAAUAAGUAUCCACUGGGGGGUACGACCGCAAGGUUGAAACUCAAAGAAAUUUGACGGGGGCCCGCACAAAGCAGUGGGGUAUGUGGUUUAAUUCGAAGCAACGGCGAAGAACCUUUCCAGGUCUUGACAUCCGAUGCAUAGUGCAGAGAUGCGUGAAGUCCUUCGGGACAUCGAGACAGGUGGUGCAUGGUUGUCGUCAGCUCGUGUCGUGAGAUGUUGGGUUAAGUCCCGCAACGAGCGCAACCCUUAUUGCCAGUUACUACGAAAGAGGACUCUGGCGAGACUGCCGUUGACAAAACGGAGGAAGGUGGGGAUGACGUCAAAUCAUCAUGCCCUUUAUGACCUGGGCUACACACGUACUACAAUGGCGUUUAACAAAGAGAAGCAAGACCGCGAGGUGGAGCAAAACUCAAAAACAACGUCUCAGUUCAGAUUGCAGGCUGCAACUCGCCUGCAUGAAGUCGGAAUUGCUAGUAAUCGCGGAUCAGCAUGCUGCGGUGAAUACGAAGCCGGGCCUUGCACACACCGCCCGUCA
rnacentral:rRNA from 1 species